AGCGAACGCUGGCGGCAGGCCUAACACAUGCAAGUCGAACGAACUCUUCGGAGUUAGUGGCGGACGGGUGAGUAACACGUGGGAACGUGCCUUUUGGUUCGGAAUAACUCAGGGAAACUUGUGCUAAUACCAAAUGUGCCCUUCGGGGGAAAGAUUUAUCGCCAUUAGAGCGGCCCGCGUCUGAUUAGCUAGUUGGUGAGGUAACGGCUCACCAAGGCGACGAUCAGUAGCUGGUCUGAGAGGAUGACCAGCCACACUGGGACUGAGACACGGCCCAGACUCCUACGGGAGGCAGCAGUGGGGAAUCUUGCGCAAUGGGCGAAAGCCUGACGCAGCCAUGCCGCGUGAAUGAUGAAGGUCUUAGGAUUGUAAAAUUCUUUCACCGGGGACGAUAAUGACGGUACCCGGAGAAGAAGCCCCGGCUAACUUCGUG
rnacentral:rRNA from 1 species